rnacentral:tRNA from 1 species
GGCCCUGUAGCUCAAUCGGAAAGAGCACCCUUUUUACGCAGGGGAGGCUGGGGGUUCGAGUCCCCCCAGGGCCA